rnacentral:rRNA from 1 species
CUACGGGCCGCUCCAGUCGAGAGGCUUCCACAAUGGGGGAAACCCUGAUGGAGCGACGCCGCGUGGGUGAUGAAGGUCUUCGGAUCGUAAAGCCCUUUCGACAGGGACGAAGGCUCCGGAUGCGAAUAGUUUCCGGGGUAAGACGGUACCUGUAUAAGAAGCUCCGGCUAACUCCGUGCCAGCAGCCGCGGUACGACGGAGGGAGUCAAGCGUUGUUCGGAUUUACUGGGCGUAAAGGGCGUCUAGGCUGAUUGUCAAGUCAGGUGUGAAAUCCCCCGGCUCAACCGGGGAACUGCACUUGAAACUGAUAGUCUUGAGUACGGAAGAGGAAAGCGGAAUUCCUGGUGUAGCGGUGGAAUGCGUAGAUAUCAGGAAGAACAUCGGUGGCGAAGGCGGCUUUCUGGUCCGAUACUGACGCUAAAGCGCGAAAGUGUGGGGAGCAAACAGGAUUAGAUACCCGGGUAGUC